rnacentral:rRNA from 1 species
AACGAACGCUGGCGGCAUGCCUAACACAUGCAAGUCGAACGAAGCCUUCGGGCUUAGUGGCGCACGGGUGCGUAACACGUGGGAAUCUGCCCUUCGGUUCGGAAUAACAGUUAGAAAUGACUGCUAAUACCGGAUGAUGACGAAAGUCCAAAGAUUUAUCGCCGAAGGAUGAGCCCGCGUAGGAUUAGGUAGUUGGUAGGGUAAUGGCCUACCAAGCCGACGAUCCUUAGCUGGUCUGAGAGGAUGAUCAGCCACACUGGGACUGAGACACGGCCCAGACUCCUACGGGAGGCAGCAGUGGGGAAUAUUGGACAAUGGGCGAAAGCCUGAUCCAGCAAUGCCGCGUGAGUGAUGAAGGCCUUAGGGUGUAAAGCUCUUUACCAGGGAUGAUAAUGACAGUACCUGGAGAAUAAGCUCCGGCUAACUCCGUGCCAGCAGCCGCGGUAAU